AAUAUUGGACAAUGGGCGAAAGCCUGAUCCAGCAACGCCGCGUGAGGGAUGACGGCCUUCGGGUUGUAAACCUCUUUCAGCAGGGACGAAGCGCAAGUGACGGUACCUGCAGAAGAAGCACCGGCCAACUACGUGCCAGCAGCCGCGGUAAUACGUAGGCAGCGAGCGUUGUUCGGAGUUACUGGGCGUAAAGGGUGCGUAGGCGGUUUCUUAAGUUUGUCGUGAAAUCUCCCGGCUUAACCGGGAGGGUGCGGCGAAAACUGGGGGACUGGAGUACUGGAGAGGUAAGCGGAAUUCCUGGUGUAGCGGUGAAAUGCGUAGAGAUCAGGAGGAACACCUGUGGUGUAGACAGCUUGCUGGACAGUAACUGACGCUGAGGCACGAAAGCGUGGGUAGCAAAC
rnacentral:rRNA from 1 species